rnacentral:lncRNA from 1 species
UUUCAGGGACUGUUCUAAGCGCCGGGGUAGAGGCGAGCUGAUCGGGUUGCCUCUAAUCACAGACCCGAUCCCCAUUUUACAGAUGAGCAAACCGAGGCCCAGAGAAGCCGGGCGACGAGCUUACGUCGAUCCAUCGACAGGGUUCGCGGAGUGGCUUUUCUCGAAAUGACCGGCGUG